rnacentral:rRNA from 1 species
GACGAACGCUGGCGGCGUGCUUAACACAUGCAAGUCGAACGGAAAGGCCCCUUUGGGGGUCCUCGAGUGGCGAACGGGUGAGUAACACGUGAGUAACCUGCCCUUUACUUCGGGAUAACUUCAGGAAACUGGGGCUAAUACCGGAUAGGAAUCCUUGCUGCAUGGUGGGGGUUGGAAAGCUUCGGCGGUUUUGGAUGGACUCGCGGCUUAUCAGCUUGUUGGUGGGGUAGUGGCUUACCAAGGCUUUGACGGGUAGCCGGCCUGAGAGGGCGACCGGCCACAUGGGGACUGAGAGACGGCCCAGACUCCUACGGGAGGCAGCAGUGGGGAAUAUUGCACAGUGGGCGGAAGCCUGAUGCAGCAACGCCGCGUGCGGGAUGACGGCCUUCGGGUUGUAAACCGCUUUCAGCAGGGGCGAAGCUUUUGUGACGGUACCUGCAGAAGAAGCACCGGCUAACUACGUG